rnacentral:misc_RNA from 1 species
GGUUUUUCAAUUCUUUCGUCAAAAACGUGCGAAUCGCGCACAGCUGUAUCAAAUAGAUCGUAGAAGCAAAACAACCGCCUUAGGAUCGAAUUCCAGCCCUAGAAGAUCAGAGAAGACCUAACAUUGCACCCCCUUCUCAACUUUAGUCCCUCUCAGAGCUGCAAGAAGUCAAGAUCCCGUUUGAUUCGCCAACUUACCUUUUACAAAUCUUGCAUGUGGACAGAGCUGUGUUUUUCAUAUCUUAUUACCUGCCCAAUGAAGCAUGUUGUCAAGAUUAUGGCCUUGCUAGUGGCCAUUUCUUCCAUUUGGGUUGGCCUCUUGCAGACCUCUAUUAUUCCUCAUAGCCAUACUUGGUUGCUACCCAUCUAUUUUGUUGUAUCUUUGGGUUGCUAUGGUUUAUUAAUGGUUGGAAUUGGUUUAAUGCGAUUUCCAACUUGCCCUCAAGAAGCACUACUAUUGCAGCAGGACAUCAUCGAGGCCAAAGAAUUUCUAAAGCAAAAAGGGAUUGAUGUUGGCUCGGAUUGAUGAAGGCACAUAAUUUCAGGUUUAGACAGUUAAUGGCAAAACAUCUGAAAGCUUUGAGCAAUCUAUCGGUGCAUCAGAAUGCCAACUUUUCCUGUCUAUUCAAAAUUUUUUCAAAGAGUUGCAAUGUUAAAGCUAAUUAAACUUGAGGUUCCACAACGGCUCCUGGACAUUUAUGAAAAGAUGGAUUUUAUUGUUUCCUCUUUCUCUCGCUUUUUUCCUUUUUAACUAAUGGGAAUUGAGAGUUGUAGCCAUUACUCUUAUGUGAAGUUAUACGAAGAUGAACAUCAAAACAUGAUUGCCAUUCUUAAUUAACUUUUGUAACAUUU